rnacentral:rRNA from 1 species
UACGUAGGGUGCAAGCGUUGUCCGGAAUUAUUGGGCGUAAAGAGCUUGUAGGCGGUUUGUCGCGUCUGCUGUGAAAUUUCGGGGCUCAACCCCGAACUUGCAGUGGGUACGGGCAGACUAGAGUGUGGUAGGGGAGACUGGAAUUCCUGGUGUAGCGGUGAAAUGCGCAGAUAUCAGGAGGAACACCGAUGGCGAAGGCAGGUCUCUGGGCCAUAACUGACGCUGAGAAGCGAGAGCAUGGGGAGCGAACAGG